UUAAUUGAAGCCAAAAAGAGGCUUAUCACUGUUAAUGAUAGAACUGAGAUCAUUCUCCAAUUAAG
rnacentral:tRNA from 1 species